GGAGCUCUGCAGGGGGUCCAUCUGGAAAGGACUUCAACAUCCGGAAGAGCUUAGAGUUUAGUCCAUUUUGAAGGCACCACAGAACCCUCCAAGUGGCAGGCAGCCUCCAGAAUUGACCCUGACCAGCAGGCAUGCAGCGGGAACCCAGAGGGAGGACGGACAACAGAGCUCUCCCCACGCAGCUGCAUGAGAUGGGAGGGGAGAGGGUCCCUCCACAGUGGGCACGAUUGCGGUUAACAGCUCACCAGUGGUGGAAGGGAUCGACCAACAGGAAAACAGCAGCCACCACUCUACUUACCGACUGCAGCCCUAAAAAUUAAGACAAGUGACAUCAGAACAUCAAGAGACACAUCCUGAGAAGAUUAGCCUUGGGUCGUAUGGAGAG